AACACAACCCACAUUAGGAUUUCUGUUCCAAGCCAGCUGGCCUGGCUUUAUAAAUGCAGGACAUUUCUUAUGCUUUCUUCGUAAAUAUUGUUUUGUGAAAGUUUGACUUACCUGCCUGACAGCUGGAACUGCAGGGUGUAACUUCCUGGGGAAGCACAAGAUCGGCACCGUGCCAACUAAACAACUAACACCACGUACUGAAACCUCAAAGAGUCUCCUGGUGAAACCAAGACAAACCACAUGCUGGAUCUGAAAGAACUGAAGGAAUAUUGAACACAUGACUCAAGUGGCCCACGCUUGAACCUAAGACUUAAGAUGAGGAACUGAAAGCAACAAAAACAAGAUAGUUCCUUUGUCAAACCUUUACACUUAUAAUCGAUUUCACAUUUUUUAUAGGCUGGUCACUGGUGGGGAACUUUGGUGAGUGCACCAAAGUGUCCCAUUGUAUUAUUCUAAUUGCCUUGACUCCUCCUGAUAUGCUUAAAUCAUUGCAUGGUGAGGCAGUGAUUGAGAACAUUUAAUUUAUGUUUUCUGAGUAAGAUAAGUAAUAAAAAAUAAAACGUUUUUUUUUUUGUACAACUGCAAGUUC